rnacentral:rRNA from 1 species
CCUACGUGUGGCAGCAGUGGGGAAUAUUGGGCAAUGGGCGCACGCCUGACCCAGCAACGCCGCGUGAAGGAAGAAGGCUUUCGGGUGGUAAACUUCUUGAAAGAGGGAAGAGCAGAAGACGGUACCUCUUGAAUAAGCCACGGCUAACUACGUGCCAGCAGCCGCGGAAAUACGUAGGUGGCAGGCGUUGUCCGGAUUUACUGGGUGUAAAGGUCGAGAAGACGGGAAGACAAGUCAGAUGUGAAAUGCCGCGGCUCACCCGCGGAACUGCAUUUGAAACUGUGUUUCUUGAGUACCGGAGAGGUCAUCGGAAUUCCUUGUGUAGCGGUGAAAUGCGUAGAUAUUGGGAGGAACACCAGUGGCGAAGGCGGCCUGCUGGACAUUAACUGACGCUGAGGCGCGAAAGCGUGGGGAGCAAACAGGAUUAGAUACCCCUGUAGUC